rnacentral:rRNA from 1 species
CAGUCGCGCGGUAAUACGAAGGGUGCAAGCGUUAAUCGGAAUUACUGGGCGUAAAGCGUGCGUAGGCGGUGAGUUAAGUCUGCUGUGAAAUCCCCGGGCUCAACCUGGGAAUGGCAGUGGAUACUGGCUCGCUAGAGUGUGUCAGAGGAUGGUGGAAUUCCCGGUGUAGCGGUGAAAUGCGUAGAGAUCGGGAGGAACAUCAGUGGCGAAGGCGGCCAUCUGGGACAACACUGACGCUGAGGCACGAAAGCGUGGGGAGCAAACAGGAUUAGAUACCCCGGUAGUCCCUGUCUCUUAUACA